rnacentral:rRNA from 1 species
CAGUCGCCGCGGUAAUACGUAGGGUGCAAGCGUUAAUCGGAAUUACUGGGCGUAAAGCGUGCGCAGGCGGUUUUGUAAGACAGAGGUGAAAUCCCCGGGCUCAACCUGGGAACUGCCUUUGUGACUGCAAGGCUAGAGUACGGCAGAGGGGGAUGGAAUUCCGCGUGUAGCAGUGAAAUGCGUAGAUAUGCGGAGGAACACCGAUGGCGAAGGCAAUCCCCUGGGCCUGUACUGACGCUCAUGCACGAAAGCGUGGGGAGCAAACAGGAUUAGAUACCCCCGUAGUCCCUGUCUCUUAUAC